rnacentral:lncRNA from 1 species
AAAAACUCUAUGUUUCUUUAUAAAUAUCCAACAACAAAUCUUAACCUUCAUUCUCAUUCUUCACUAAGCGCUUCACCAAAAUGGCUUUCUACAAUACAAUAAAACACCUUGUAAGCCUCAUUGCCCUAUUCUAUGUAGCUGAAGCAGUGCUAAAAAAUUUGACAGCACAAAGUUGUGGCUGUGCCCCAGAGAUAUGUUGUAGCCAGUAUGGCGACUGCGGCAGCGGAGAUGGUUACUGGGGCCAGGGUUAUAAAGAAGGCCCUUGUACUAGCAGCGGUGGCAGCACAACUACCACACCAAGGAGCAAUGGUAGUGGUGGUUCGUCGGUGGCUGAUAUUGUAACCCCAGAAUUCUUCAACAGGAUCAUUAACCAAGUGUUUAGGCCUAGUUUUUACGAAUCCAAAAUUAAAGCUAAUUGGUCCAAGUACAUGAUUUGGGCUUUAAUUGUACAAGUAUAAGUCAAAUACUUAUAAUUUUUUUUAUUUAAUAAGAGCUAUGUUUCUUAUAAAAAGAAAAAGUGAAGGGUAAAACAAAGUUUAAUUGGGAUUUAUUGUUCGAGACACACAUGUAAAUAAUUACAUUGGUGAACUGUUUAGGUUUAUUCUAAUGCUUUUUCUCUUCUUCAUUUGCACGUAUUGUUUAAAUUUGAAUUCAUUUGGAUAUUGUGAGACUAAAGCUACUUCGUUUUGCCAAAAAGAUUGUUAUAAUGGUAGACAUUUCAAACUUGGAAGUUCUGAAAUUGUUGCAAAACCAGGGAAUGGUACUGAGGAAGAUAAGGAAGGAGCUCUUGCUUUAGCAAAUGCAACAGAGAUGGCUCUGCAAUUUCAUGACAACCCUAAUUCUACAGUGAAAGGAACAGCUAAAUCUAUUGCAGUAUUUUUAGCCACUCGAUCCUAUCAAUGUCUAGAUAUACAUUAUGAAGGUUCCUUGCCAGAACCAUAUUUUAUAGGGAGAAGUAGGAGGGCAGCAGGGUAUGAAGAUGAGAAGAACGGGCAUGAGAAAUCAUGAUCAAAUUAGAAAAACGUGGAAAGAGUUGUUAAAAUGAAGACGUGUUGGAGGAUGUGCCAUUGAGAAGAAGUAGAUGCGUGGAAGGCAACAGGUCUAGGCGACCGCUCGUGAGGGGACAAGUAAACGAAAGAGCAUACUCUUGAUGUCUCCCUUGCAGCAUGGAGUGCAUCUAUAUGAAACCGAGAAUAUGUAAGAGCAUUUCCAGCAGGGCUGGAAAACUCGGGCUGGGGGGGGUUGGGGUUUGGGGCAAAAAACGAAGUCCAGCAACAAAAGUCCAGCCCGGGCGAGAGUGGGGGCCACCAAAACGGGCAGGCCCGAAGGCGAAAUCGGCCCGAGCUCGGGCCCGAAGUCUGGGACAAAAUAGCUGACGCCAGCAUGGCGUCAGCCCUGAAAUUUUGAAUUUUUUUUUACCGUUGGCGCGUGCAUUGCACGCGCCACGCGCCAACGUUAAAAAAAAUUUCAAAUCAGCGCUACAGUGCCGCCAACGGCUCUUUGACACGUGGCGGCCUCUGGUCGCUCCGAUUGGAAUUUUUUCUUCAAUCCAACGGCAGCCAAUUUUUCUGCCAAAAAAAAUUGAAAAAAAAUCGAAUUUUUUUUAAAAAAAUCGAAUUUUUUUUAAAAAAAUACACAAAAAUUACAGAAUUUUUUGUGUAUAAAUACCAACCAAUACUCUUCACUUUUAACACCAACUCCUCAUAUAUUUUCUUCUCCUUCUACUAUUGUUCACUUUCUCCUCAAAUUUUAUUCACUUUCUAUUUAAUAUUUUUUCACUUUGAAGUUGUAAUUUUUUUCUAGCAUAUUAUGGGUUCUUCUAAUGAAAAUGGAGGGGCAUGGAGCAUGAUGGAAGAUGUUAGCUUGUGUGAGGCUUGGGUCCAAGUUAGUCAUUGUCCCGUAACGGGCAAUGAGAUUAAAUUUUCUCAUAUGUGGAAAAAAAUUCAUCAAGCAUUUUGUGAAAGGGCAAUUGGUUCUACACGUACAGAAAUGACAUUAUCUCGUAGGUGGAAAGUUCUUAAUAAAGAGUUGGGGAAAUGGAGAAAUGCCUUAGCAAAAGCGAUUGACAACCAUCGAAGCGGAGAAAAUCUUAGCAGUGAGGUAAAUUAUUUGUCAUUUUUCUUCUAUUAAUUUCUAUGUCAUAUUAAUUUUUAUUUAAAUGUUUCUUGCAAUUUAUAUAUUUUGUUAAUAUGUCUCUAGUUUUUUUUUAAUACAUGUUGUAUUUUUUUAUUAUUUCUUUAAUUUCCAUUAGUUUUUUUUUACAUGUUGCAUUGCCAAUAUUUUAAAAAUUCUCUUGCAUUUCCAUUUCAUUUUUUUUAUAGAUUAUACAAGCACAAAUGUGGUUUGGUGCUACUGGCCAAGGGAAAAAAAGUUUCAACCAUACCCAUUGUUGGGAGGUGGUGAAGACUUGUAAGAGAUUCCAAAUUAUUCCAACCGGUCCGACGGUAGUCUUGAACGAGACUCCACUUCGUGAGACGCCGGCAUCGGAUUCACCUAUGGAUUCCCCGAUGAAUCUAGACUCACCCAUUGAAAAUGAACCAAGGCCUAUUGGGAGGAAGGCGGCGAAGGCGAAGAGAGGGAGUAAUUCUAGCAAGAAUGCAUCUCAAUUUUUGGAGGAACUUUCAAAGCACCAAGCCAUGAGAAUUGAAAUGGACUUGAAACAACAAGAGCACGAUAUGGCUAUUCAAGUAGAAUAUGCAAAAGAAAGGGAGUAUGUACGCAAAGAAAGGGAGUAUGUACGCGAACAAAACAUUGAAAAACAAGAUCGGGAAACCAUGGCCAUGGAUACAAGCCAUAUGUCCCCUGAAACAAAACAAUAUUGGAAGCUAGAACGAAGGGAUGUUAUGAGACGAAGACUUUUUCGUGACGAUGGACCUAGCAACACGGAUUGGUUAAAUGAUGGAAAACAUUAAAAUAGUUUGUUUACCUUUCAUGUCUUAGUUUACUUGCCUUUGAUUUCAUUGUAUUUUUUGUUUUCUUUAAUUCGUGUACCUUUGAUUUCAUUGUAUUUUUUGUUUUCUUUAAUUCAUGUACCUUUCAUUUCAUUGUAUUUUUUGUUUUGUUUAAUUCAUGUAUUUUAUUUUAUUAUUAGUUGUAUUGCUUUUCUUUUAGUCAAUAAAGAAAAUAUUCAACAAAAAUCCUUUUUAUUCAAAACAUUCCAUACAUAAAAAACAAACCACAACCAAAGCAUAAAAAAUAAACAACCCACAACCAAAGCAUAAAACAUAAACAACCCACAACCAAACCAUAAAAAAUAAACAACCCACAACCAAAGCAUAAAACAUAAACAACCCACUCACAACAAAAAAUAAACAACAUACAACAUAAACAUAAUAAUGUUGUAAAUAAUAUUGGUGAAGCCCACAUAAAGAAGAAAUGAUGGUGUUAGAAGUGGGAUGAUUAGUCAAAAGAUGAAAUUAUAAUGUUGGGGAGAAAUCAUUAUGUCUCCAUUAGAAGCCUUUUACUUUGCCUAUAAAUAGGCUUGCUCAUUCACUUGUAAUACACACCAAAGAGAAGAGAAGAAAGAGUGAGGAAAGAAAGAACGGAAGAGAGAAAGAGAAAGAGUGGGAGUUAGAGAGAAGAGAAAGAGUGGAGUCUAUCUGAGGAGAAAUUAUGUCAGUGUAAACACUACAAAGAGAAAUAUAAUCCCACUCCCAAUAUUGCAGUGGUACUUCUCAUCAACUGAUUAUUCUAGUUUUAUAACAAAUAAAAUAAAAACAACUUCUUCACUUCACUUUAUUCACCUUCAUUUCCUUCAUUGCCUUUCACCACCCAUAAAUGCUCCAUCAAGUCAACUUGACGGUGUUCAUGAAUAUACGACUAUUGCAUCUCCGUGUAGCGAUCAAUCAUACGAGGCAUGAAACUACCGUCUCUAACCAACGGUUCAUGCUGCACUGCUUCUCCAUUUGGCCCCACUGGUUUUUCAUAAAUUCGUGUUAGGGCCGUGUCCAUGGGAUUUGGUUCAUACACGUCAUCAGCAUCGUAACCAUAUUCAUCUUCCACAAUCAUGUUAUGGAGGAUGAUACAAGUCAUCAUUAUACUCCUAAGCACCUCCUCGUCAAAUAGACGUGCCGCGCCCCUGAUAAUAGCCCACCGAGCUUGAAGGAUACCGAAGCACCUCUCAACAUCUUUUCUGUACCCCUCUUGAUAGCGAGCAAAAAAAUUUUCCUUAUGGGAUCGGGGAUGUGGAAUUGUUUUCACAAAUGUUGUCCACCUCGGGUAUAUGCCAUCAGCUAGAUAAUACCCGGUCUGGUAGAUGGUAUUGUUAAUUUCAUAUGUGAUAUUUUGGGCUUCACCUCUCAAAACAUCAUUGAACACCGGGGAUUGACCUAGGACAUUCAAAUCGUUUUGAGAUCCGGCAACUCCGAAGAAGGCGUGCCAAACUCAUGUAUCAAAACCAGCAACUGCUUCGAGGAUGAUACUUUUCUGCCCUUUUCUAUUUCCGUAGUCCCCUUGCCAAGCAGUUGGACAAUUUUUCCACUGCCAGUGCAUGCAGUCAAUGCUACCAAUCAUGCCAGGGAAUCCUCGAGACUCAGCUUUUUGGAGAAGCCUUUGCAGGUCCCUAGGCGUAGGUCUGCGGAGGUAGUCUCUGGUGUACAGAGUUUCCACUGCAUCACAAAAUCGCACCAAGCUCUCCAAAAUAGUGGACUUCCCCAUCCGAGCAAUCUCAUCCACCUGAUCAGCAGAUGACCCAUACGCCAACAUUCGUAUCACAGCUGUGAACUUCUGCUCUGGAAGAAGUCCCAAAUUUCCAGCACAAUUUCUCUUUUGAACAAAAUAUUCAUCAUAAUUGCAAAUAUCAUGCAUGAUUUUAUUGAACAAAUGGGGUUGCAUUCUAUAUCUCCCUCGAAAAUGAACAUCAAAGUACAGAGAUUGUGGGAUAAAAUAAUCUUCCAUAAGAUUCUUACCCCGGGAAUGUCUAUGUCCGUCCACAUUUGGGCGACGGCCUUCUCGUGAACCACGGCGAGCCUGCUUUUCUUCCUCCAGCAAAGCAACUGCUAUGCCAAGUUGCUCAUCUAGUUCUCUCUGCGCCCUUUUGCUUGCAGCUCGUCUACGCAUUCUUUCUCUAGUUUCUCGCUCUUGCCUCUCCAAAACCUCUUCCAUGUCUGCCAUUGAGAAUGGAGAAUGAAAUCUAAAAUUUGAGAAAUGGAAAUGUAGAGAAGAACUGGUGUGGGAGGUAUGAGCUGAACCUCUGAUUUUAUAGAAAAAUGUACACGGAUAGAUAUGACAUGCGUCGCAAUCUUAGAGGGUGAAAAUCUUAUCUAAAAUUUGAAAUUCAAAUGAAAUUUCAAAUUUCAAAUUUAUCUGAAAUUUGAAUUCCGAAAUGUAUCUGAAAUUUGACAUUUUGAAUUUAUCUGAAAUUUGAAUUUUGAAAUGUACCUGAAAUUUGAAAUUUAUCUGAAAUUUAUCUGAAAUUUGAAACCGAAAAUCUUAUCCGAUAUGAAUAGUAUUGACACGUAGGAACCCAAAAAUCUUAUCCGAAAAUAUUAUCCAAAUUAAUUGUUUAAGUAAACAAAAUUGUGAAAAAAACAAAAAAAUGAAUAGUAAUUGCCAUGGCAAGCCCCAACUGCUGGAAACACAUUUUGCUGGAGGGGGCUAGGGCAGCCACUAUUCACGUGAAUAGUGCCUGCCCUAGGGCUAAUCUUGCCAUGGCAAGAGUCAACUGGUGGAAGUGCUCUAAGGGGAGAAACAAAAGGGGAGUCUAUUAGAGCAUUUCCAGCAGCUAAGGCUAGACUCGGGCUGGGAGGGGGGGUUGUUUGGGCAAAAAAGUAGUUUCCAGCAAUAAAAGCAAGUCCGAGCAGAUGGUGGGACCUAGCAGACUGGGCUGGCCCGAGGGCAAGGCUGAUGUCACGUCAACGUCAGCCCUGUGUCCAAAUUUUUUUAAAUCGUCCAUGUAGCGCGCGCUAGGCUCUCCGAUCAUAAUGAAAAAAAAUGGAUAAAAAUGUAAAAAAAUUACUGAUUUUUUUUUCUCUAUACCUUAUUUCCAUUUUCAACAUUUAAGUAAAUGUCUUUGUCCUUUUACUUUCAUUUAUUUUUAUAUUACUCUAUUUACUUAAGUUUACAAUGGAAAUAAGGAAGUACCCCCCCCCCCCCCCCCUCAAUUUGGAUUCAAAUAAAAAUACCAGAAAAUCAAAUUCCCACCAAAUCAAAAUAUGAAAAAUCGAUUUUAGUGCAAAAUACGAUUUUGGCUAAAAAUGAUGGCUCAUUAAGUCAAUAUAUACUUCAUAUUAAAAUUUCAUAAAAUCAAGUUUUCUUAUUUGAUGUGUAAGGAAUAAAAGCCGCCAAAAAUUAUCUUGAGAAAACAAUUAUUCCGAAAAAUCAUUUUUCAUACUUAGUCAAUAUUGCACCUCCGCUACAAAAAUUCUGGGUCCACCAGUGUCUAUAAAUACCAACCAAUACUCUUCACUUUUAACACCAAAUCCUCAUACUUUUUUUUUUCCUAUAAAUACCAACCAAUACAACUAAUAAAAUAAAAUACAACUAAUAAAAUGAAAUCAUAUCCGAAAAUAUUAUCCAAUAUGAAUAGUAUUAACAUGUAAGAACCCAAAAAUAUUAUCCGAAUUAAUUACUUAAGUAAAAAAAGUUGUAAAAAAAUAAAAAAAUGAAUAGUAUUUGCCAUGGCAAAGAGCAACUGCUGGAAACACAUUUUGCUGGGGGGGCUAGGGCAGCCACUAUUCACGUGAAUAGUAGCUGCCCUAGGGCUCCCCUUGCCAUGGCAAGGGGCAAACUGCUGGAAAUGCUCUUAGAGCAACUCCACCCAUUUGCCGUUAGCCAUGGCAAGGGUGGAGCUAGGGCAAGCACUAUUCACAUGAAUAGUGCUUGCCCUUGCAAAUAGUAAAUUGUGUCUCCACCCGUUGCCCUUAGCCAUGGCAAUUACUAUUCAUUUUUUUGUUUUUUCCUCCUAUUUUUUAAUGAAAAUAAUUAAUUUGGGUAAUAUUUUCAGAUAAGAUUUUCGGAUUCCUACGUGUCAAGACUAUUCAUAAUCAGAUAAAAUUUUCGGAUAAGAUAUUUGGAUUCAAAUUUCGGAUUAAUUUCAAAGUUCAAAUUUCAGAUAAAUUUUUGGGUUCAAAUUUCGAAUGAAUUUCAAAAUUCAAAUUUCAGAUAAAUUUGGGUUCAAAUUUCAGAUAAAUUUGGGUUCAAAUUUCGGAUGAAUUUCAAAAUUUGAAUUUCAUACAAAUUAGGGUUCAAAUUUCGGAUGAAUUUCAAAUUUCAGAUAAGAUUUUCAUCCAAUAAAAUCAAGCCACGUGGCAUGUCUAUCUUGCCAAAUUUUUCUAUAAAAUCAAAGUCUCAGCUCAUACCUCUCACACUACAUCUUUCUAUAUUUUCAUUUCUGAGAGUUUAUAAUUCAUACUUCAUUCAUUCUGAAUGGAAGAAUUUAGGAGAUGCUUGGAGAGACAAGAGAGAGAAAGAAGAGAGAGAAACCGUAGAGCAGAUGAAGUCAAUGAGUUGCAGAGACAAGUCGAUGAGCAAGUUCUCAUAGCAGUGGCUUUGGAAGAAGAAGAGAACCAAGGUCGCCGCCAUAGUUCACAAGCCGGCCGCCGCCGGAAUGUGGAAACACAUAGGCAUUCUAGGGGUAAGAAUCUUUUGGAAGAUUAUUUUAUCCCAACUUCUUUGUACUCUGAUGUUGAUUUUCGAAGGCGAUUUAGAAUGCAACCUCAUUUGUUCAAUAAAGUCAUGCAUGAUAUUUGCAAUUAUGAUGCAUACUUUGUUCAAAAGUGUGAUGCUGCUGGGGUUUUGGGGCUUCUUCUGGAGCAAAAGCUUACAGCUGUUAUACGAAUGUUGGCGUAUGGAGCAUCUGCUGAUCAGGUGGAUGAGAUUGCCCGGAUGGGGAAGUCCACUACGUUGGAGGCUUUGGUAAGAUUAUUGUGCCUUGUUUGUAGUUUUUUUUAUUUUUAUUUUGUUUUGUUUGAAGUAUGGAAUAUGUUGAAUAAAAAGGUAAUUUAUUGAAUACUUUGUUUAUUAAAUAACGAAAUCUAAUACAAGUCAUUACGAAUUACUACUACUAAAAUAAAAUACAUGAAUUACAACAACUUUAAAAGAAAACAUGAAAAAUACAAAUACUUAAAAGGUAGGCUAACAAAUUUAAUGGUUUCCAUCAUUUAACCAAUCCGUGUUGCUAGGCCCAUCAUCCCGGAAAAGUUUUCUUCUCAUAACAUCCCUUCUCAUAAAAUACAUGAAUUACAACAACUUUAAAAGAAAACAUGAAAAAUACAAAUACUUAAAAGGUAGGCUAACAAAUUUAAUGGUUUCCAUCAUUUAACCAAUCCGUGUUGCUAGGCCCAUCAUCCCGGAAAAAUUUUCUUCUCAUAACAUCCCUUCGUUCUAGUUUCCAAAAUUGUUUUGUUUCAGGGGACAUAUGACUUGUAUCCAUGGCCAUGGUUUCCCGAUCCGUGUUGUCUAUAUCUUUUUUGCGCAAAUACUCCCUUUCUCGUGCAUACUCAGCUUGAAGGGUCAACUCGUUAUCUUGGCGUUUUUGCUCCAUUUCAAUUCUUAGGCCAUUUUGCCUUGCAAUUUCCUCCAAAAACUUUGAAUUAUAAUUGCUUGAAUUACCCACUUUCUUUGCCUUCGCGGCCUUUCGGCCAAUGGGCCUCGGCUCCUUUUCCAUGGGUGAGUCUUGACUCAUAGGAGAAUCAAGAGGUGAAUCCGGUGCCAUUGAAUCACGGAGUGGCGUCUCGUUUAAUACAACAUCGGGACCCGUUGGAAUAAUUAUGAACCGUUUGCAAUAUUUGACCACCUCCCAACAUUCAUGAUGGGUGAAAUUUUUUUUGCCACCCCCGGUUGCACCGAACCACAUUUGUGCUUGUAUAAUCUAUUUAACAAAAAAAUAAAAAUGCAAUAAAUAUUUAAAAUAUAUUGGAUAUGCAAGUAACAAAAAAAUAUAAUAAUGAAAAUGCAAUUAACCUUACAAAUAAAUUAGAAGUGCAAGAAAAUUAAGAAACAAGUGGAAAUGCAAGAAAUAUUAACAACAUAUUGAAAAUGCAAGACAUAUGAACAAAAUAUUUAAAUUGCAAUAAAUAUUAACAAAAUAUUGAUAAUGCAAGAAAUAUGAACAAAAUAUUUAAAAUGCAAGAAAUAUUAACAAAAUAUUGAAAAUGCAAGCAAUAUUAACAAAUUGUAUAUAUUAGGAGAUUAAACUUAAUAAAAUAAAAAUUAUAAAAUACUUACCUCGUUAGUGCGAUUUUGCCCGCUUCUAUAGUUGUCCAUCGCUUUUGCUAGGACAUUUCUCCAUUUUCCCAACUCUUUAUUCAGGAUUUUCCACCUACUGGAUAACGCCAUCUCCGUACGAGUAGACCCCGGAAUUUUUUCACAAAAUUCGACAUGAAUUUUUUUCCACAUAUGAAAAAAUUUCAUCUCAUUGCCGGACACGGGACAAUGACAAAUUUGGAGCCAAGCCUCACACAAUGAAACAUCUUCCAUGGUGCUCCAAGCCCCUCCGAUUUCGAUAGAAGAAGCCAUAAAAAUAUGAAAUCAAAAUACUAGAUGAAAAAGAGGAAAAUGUUGAGUAUAAAGAGUGAAUAAUGGUAGAAGUAGAAGAAAAUGUAUGAGUAUUGGUGUUGAAAGUGAAGGGUAUUGAUAGGUAUUUAUAGAAAAAAAAAAUCAGAAUUUUUUAGAAUUUUUAAAAAAAAUUUACGAUUUUUUUUCAUAUUUUUAUUGCCCGAAAAAGCCUUAGCCGUUGGAUUAAUUUGGAAAAGCAGAUCGGAAGGCUGGGGAGGCGACACGUGGCAGCGUACCGUUGGAGCUGGCGUCGCGCUGACGUCAGCGUGACGCGAGUUGGACCUGGGGCUGGUCUCGCCUUCGGGCUGGCCCGAGUUGGUGGGUCCCACACCACCCCCGGGCCUGGGCUGAACGCUGGAGCAACUUUUUUUUUUUUCCUGCCUUCGCCUCGGGCUAGGCUCCCUCGGUGGAGCAGCUCUUAUAGUGGCAUGCCCCCUUUUGCCUCAUCUAUUUUUGUAGACAUUUUUGGUUUUUUGGUUUGUUCUGUUUUCUAUUGUGGUAUGAAAUUUAAUGAAAUAAUUAUUGUGUGGAAACACCCCAAGACUUUGUCGUUGAUGGACUAUGCAACAUGUACGCAUAAAACCACAAGAAAAAUAACACACACACACCACGAAGAGAGAUAAAGCAAACACACAAGAACACGAAGAUAAGGUUCGGCAACGUUACUAUGUCCUGUCUGAUGAAAGCCCUGAGAAAUUUCACUAGAACAAUAGGAACAACUUUUGUUUACAUGGAAAACCACCUUAACUCUCUACUCUAUCAUACCCUAGGCCUUAAUUUCUCUCACACCUUCGCUCAAACCCUUUGAUGCCCUUGUAACCUUCCCAAGAAUUCUGUUGUGAAUGGUUUCUUCUAGUUAACCUAGCUCCAAAAGUCCUGUUUAUAGUGUAUAGGACUUGGGUUACAAGUUUACUAAGAAUAGAAAACCAAAACCCUACUAGAUUAGGCUAAGAAACCCAAAACAAAUAGGCUAACAUGUCAAAAUGCGCCAAAACUUCAAAACAAGCAUGAGACAAGUCAUUAAAUUUUAAGCUAAUAAAUUUAGCUAGACUACCCGUAAAAACAUUUCUGGUUCCGCCCUUGAACUAAGGUCUUGUUUGAUGGCUUAGUUUCUUAGUUUUUGGUUACUUUUCAUCAAAGAUAGUGAGAGGGGAGACAGUAAAUCUGAAUUGUGAAGCAUAAGAUACAUAAGCCAGACUUUUUCCAUUCACAUCAAGAUAAAAGUUUUCUCUGUCUGCAGAUGACUGCACUUUAAACUUCCUUGCCUAACUUCUAUGAUUUUUACUUCCCUUUUAUAUUUAACUUGCAUUUUAGGUAUUAAUAUGGAGUUGUAAUUACAAUUAUGGCAGUUAAUGAAAUGCUUGGAAUACAUUAUAAAUAAAAUAUGAAGUCUAAUGGCAACGAUGUAAAAACAUAGGAAUAUUAUGACAUCUUAUAUCUUACUGGUAAUUUAAGUUUAAAAUUGAGUUUUCCACAUAGAUUUAUAAAAUGAUGGGUAUAUGUCUAGGAAAUAAAAAUGGUAGGGACCUAUAUUGGAAAAACCCUAAAUUUUAUUAAGAAACCACAAAAGGGCACAACAAUACAACAAAAAGUAAAAUCCAACCAAGCUCAGCAACAAGGAUAUACUUUUUUAGUGGAAAAUGUUGGGAACACUGACUUAUAUCAUGAUUUGAUUUUUCUUUGGCCUACAAAUCAAUUCUUUUAUGUGGAAAAUUCUUUUGACUUUGUCACUCAAAUUGUACAAAUAUGGUUGUGUGGCUUUUAAAAGGCAACGUGACGUGUGGGAUGGGCUGCCAAUUUUGAAACUUAUUAGCUUCUUUGAGAAGCUGGUGCAACAUUUAUGCGCGUGAACACUUGGCGGAUUGAUCCAUCAGAGAAGACAAAAUAAUGGUGUCAUUUGGACAGACUUGGGCAAUUGAUCCGGCAACAAGUCUUUCAUGGUUCCUUUAGCCUCGUUUGUUACGGAAGAUUGUCUUGGCAUGAACUAUUCUAAGAAAUUGUCUUGGCCUGAAUUGGCUUAAGUUGAAUAACACUUAACCUAUGUUUGGUGAUGCUUGGAUUGGGACUAAAUUUAAAUUGAUUAAAAUAUCAAUAAAUAGGACGAUAUAUUUCAACUUCUGUUAUACUGUACAAACGUGGGUUAAAAAUAUUCCAAUUUUUUUUUUUUUGCUAGUAAAUAGACCAGACCCGACCCGUUAAUUCUAGGCCAAAGUUCCCAAAGUUUUAUUUAAUAAGGUUUAUUUUUUAGGUUUAUAUAGGUUUUAAAUUUAAGGGCAUUUGUGUCUAUUUAAGUGAAUUUUUUACUAUAUUUGAAAUAUUUUAUAAAAACUGAUAUUUUUGAAAUUAAGGAUCAAGUUUUGAUAAAUUCUCUAAUAAAUACAUUAGUUUUAAGUUUUAGAUUUAUUACAUUUUUUUAUUUCUUGCUUGCAUUUAUUAACUGUCAUUUCUUUAUCUCUUUUUCGAAGCCUCAAAAGUCCAGUCAAUGGAUGGGGCCGUCUGAGUUGUUUUGUACGGUGGAAAACGUAUAAACUGGAUUUCGUGUCCUGGACUUCAAUAAUUUUUUCAUAUCUUUUAUUUAUUUAAACAACUUGGACUUCGUAGAAAUGGGGCUUUUUCUUUGGGUCAAGAAGUCAGUCAAUGGAAUACGUGUUCUCUCCGCCAUCGAUGGGGCAGCCUCUGUUUACCUCUCCUACUUUUGGGUGAAGAAGUCAGUCAAGUCUUUAUUUAUAAGAUUUUUGAAGUUGUUAAGAUAUCUACUGUGGCCAACAAAAUUCACGAACUUGCUUUCAGAAAAUAUUCAGAUAACAAUUAUUUAAUUGAGUAGACAAAUAAAUUCAAAUUCAAGUGAUGAUUUUCGCAGAGAUCAUCGCUGAAGAAUAUCAAAAAAAUAUACAAUUUGAAUCAUAAAAAAAUAAUAUUAUAUAAGUCCUACAACAGUGUUCCACAAACAAAAAAAUCCUCAAAUGAAGCUUUUAUGAGUAGGUACGAGCUUUAUUAAUUAUCCCUGACAAGAUUGUAGACCACCAUGGAAAGUCUCCUGCGGUAGUAGAUGUAAUUUGGGAAUCCAAAGAAACUAAUUUGCACGCCAGACAUGCAAGUCAAUGUCAACUCAAGUCAUACACGAUUUCUGAUAAAUUCAUGUCGGAAAAUGAAUUUCUAGGGAAGUUAUGAGCAUUUCAGACUCUAUGUUUCUCUAUAAAUAUCCAACAACAAAUCUUAACCUUCAUUCUCAUUCUUCACUAGCCCUUCACCAAAAUGGCUUUCUACAAUACAACAAAACACCUUCUAAGCCUCACUGCCCUAGUCUUUGUGGCUGGAGCACUGCUAAAAAAUGUGACAGCACAAAAUUGUGGCUGUGCCCCAGAUCUAUGUUGUAGCCAGUAUGGCUACUGCGGCAGCAGCGAAGACUAUUGCGGCCCGGGUUGUCAACAAGGCCCUUGUACUGGCGGUGGCGGCGGCACACCUACCACACCAAGCCCCAGUGGUGGUGGUGGUUCGUCGGUGGCUGAUAUUGUAACCCAAGAAUUCUUCAAUGGAAUCAUUAACCAGGCUCCUUCAGACUGUGUUGGGAAGAACUUCUACACUCGAGAUGGUUUUAUUAACGCUGUGAACUCAUAUUCUGACUUAGGUAGACGUGGUUCGGUUGACGAGUCUAAACGGGAAAUCGCAGCUUUCUUUGCUCAUGCGACUCAUGAGACUGGCUGUAAGAUAUUCCUUUCCUCCCCUCUCAUACAUACAAUGUGACAUGAACAAAUUAUAACUCCCCUCUCUCAUUAAAAACGUGCAUAUGUUACAUGUUGUGAAAUUAUAUGUUUCACAACGUGCAAUAAGAGCACGUUGUAUUAUACAACUUUUAGCAACAUGCAUUUAGUGUGCGUCGUCGAAAUGCGUUUAGUGCAUAUCAUGUCUGAAAGUUUCUAUAGUUGCUAAAUAUUUUCCAUGUAUUAAGCUCCACAAUUUCCGAAUGAAUUUCCUCAUUAUGAUAUGCACAGAUAUUUAUGUCAAAUAGUUGAUAACCUAUAAAAAUUCAAAACCCCUAUUUCUCAUAUAAAAAUUUGAUGGGUCAUAUAUAUUGUCAACAUAAAUAGAACAAACAAAAGAAAACACAGAUGAACCUAACAAAAUAACUUUUUCUCUUUCGUUCAGAUUUUUGCUUCAUAGAAGAGAGAGAGGAGUAUCGUCAAACCUACUGCGAGCCAAGCACAGACUAUCCAUGCAACCCCGACAAACAAUACUAUGGGCGUGGAGCAUUACAAAUUACAGGGAAUAAAAAUUAUGGACCUGCUGGAAAGAGCAUUGGCUUGGACCUUUUAAACUCUCCAGAAACCGUGGCCUCAGACGCUGAUGUUGCAUUCAAGACUGCCAUUUGGUAUUGGGUGGUAAAUGUUCGUAAUGCUUUAAGUCAAGGAUUUGGAGCCACAACUCGAGCCAUUAAUGGUGCUAAGGAAUGCGAUGGUCAACAACCUGACCUAGUUCAAGCCCGGGCCGCCUUGUACCAGAGUUAUUGCAGCCAACUUAAUGUUGAUCCUGGCGCUAAUCUCAGUUGCUAGAAUGCCAAAACUUAUUAAUUAUAUGGAGAUAUCGUUAAUUGCCCCCUUUAAUAUGAUAUAUAUCAAUAUAUCUUUUUUUUUUGUUUGUUCCCAAGCUAGCAUGGAAGGAGAGGGCUACCUCCUGUUGUGUACUCCACCCAUUGAAUAAAUAAAGACUAUAUAUUUCUAUUGAAUGUGUUUUUUGUCAUUCGCUAAGGAGGAGGAUGAAGCAGAAUUAUAUUGGAUUGCCUCAAGAUUGUCUUCUAUGUGAAUCGAACCCGGGUGCACUAAGGGGGGAAUGUGAGAGUUUUGGCCUACUUUUUUUACCGUGAUGCCACCCCAUGUGCUGUAUUGAAUGUUAUAUAUAUUGUUGAAAAUUGUAGGAAUCUUUGUGAAGUCUGUUUAGCGAACAUUUGUGAUUGGUUUGAUAUGAAUAUGAGAUUAGUUGUGCUGAGGACUUGUUUUCUUCUAAAUUUGUUUAUAUAUCGGCUUCUACCCUAACUUGAGAAAGAAUAAAUACUCCUUGGCAGUAAAGAUUGCUUGGAAUACAAUUCGGGCUAAUUACCUGUUUUAAGCAACUAGAAACCCCAAUCAAAUAAGGUCAUAUAAGCCACAAUUUGACUCAAGAAAAAUUCAGGCCCAAACAUGAACAAAAGCGCAUAUUAUUUUAGCACGAAUAGUUCUGUACCCUCUAGAAUCUUGUUAUUUUCACAUAGCUCUUUCCUAUCUGCCAAUCUCUUCUCCCGAUUUGUCAUUUCUCAUCACUUUCUGUUGAUCCACUUUUCGGCAUCGAACCUAAAUUUCCCUCUCAUUUACUCAAACAAAGUUCCCAACUUUCUUCUCUGUCUCACUUCUAAUUGUUUCAAUCAAAUUGAACUGCAGGCAUGCGCAGAGAAAGUAAAUUAAGAUAUUUUUUAAAAAAAAGCAUUUUCAUUCAUAACCUUCCCGAGCUCAAAUAUUGAGAUUUCUUACAAGAAUUGCCAAUAUUCCUAGAGUCAUAUCACACUACACAGAUGAUAGAACUUCCCAACUUCUCAAGAGAAAGGGAAUCUAGAAUUAUUCUAACGAGUCAAAAAAGAAAGAGCUAUGCUACAGUCAAUCACCUGCGCGAGAUUAGGCCAUUUUUUACCAUUCAUUAUUGUGGGACACAAAUUUGAUUAAUGGUAAGAAAUUGCUCCCUUGUUCUUAUUUACGUUUGUCUUUCCUUCGAAGUCAUGAUCAUGUGGUGUUCUAGUGUUCCUAUUGUCAGUUCAUAUGGUAUAAGCUUCUCCUCAUUGUGGAUUGUAUUGGCACUAGUUUGCCAAGCACCUCUUUCUUUGCAUGGUCUCUGGGUCACUCGAACAGGAACCAACUCUCUUCUGUAAUCCAUGGUUCUGUCUUGAGGCAACAGUUUACUGUAUAUGGAAUCCAGCUGAUUUAUCUUUUCGAAUUCGAAAGCUACUUCUGCCAAGAAUGUUAUUAUAAGAUAUUGGCUGCUUUAAUUAUGAAGUUGGAUUAAGUCUAUUUGCUUUGUUUGAUCUAAUCAGAUCAUAUGGCAAUUUUGUUCAUAUAUUGACCAUUAAAAUUCCUGUGGAAGAAAUGACUAUCAUUAUCAUUGUUUUUGUAAGUAAUGUAUGGUAUCAAAAAAUAUUAAUACUGGUCCCUUCCUAUACGAUUAGUUUUUUGUCGCUACCUAAGUCUGGUGGCUAGGGUUUGCGUUGUCUAGUGCUCACGUCCUUUUGCAGAGAGCUCUUUCCAUGCCCAUAAGGCGUCCCUGUCUGCAUAGGAGUGACGAAGGUGACGGGCUCGUGACACUCUAGGGUUCGGCGUCGUGUUUUGUGAAGGUUUUUGGGCGAGAUCUAGAGUGGACUUUGGAGGCGUUGAAAGAUAUCGUUCAAGGAUUUACCACUAACCUGGCAAUCUCGGAGGUAGAUGCUUUCGAGAUUGUAGGCGUGGAGGAGCUGAGUAAAUUGAAGGCUGAUCGUUUCCUUUUGGUUGGGCGCUUACUCAUAACCAAGCCUGUCCAUAAAGAGCCGCUGUUUGGUACUAUGAAGAAUAUCUGGCGUACAUUGGAGGAUAUCACUGCGGUUCCUUUGGAUGUACCCGAGAGGUUUUUGUUCUCCUUCAAGUCUGAUCUUGAUCAUAGAAGAGUGUUGAGGAGUUCUCCUUGGACUUUUGAUAAGGCCCUGUAGUUGCUUGAGGCAACAAACGGUUAUGUUGAUCUGCUGACAAUUACUUUGGAUACCCAUAACUUUUGGGUAAAGGUUAGGCGUAUUACCCUCUUGUUCCUGACUCCAGCAAUGGGAGAGAAAUUGGGCAACUACCUUGGAUCUUUUUUCAUGGUGGAUCGCAGAUUGAAUGAGGAUUGUUCGGGCAGUUUCUUGCGCAUCAUGGUAGGGUUGAAGAUAUCGAAGCCCCUGAAGUGUUGUGUUAUGCUUUGUUUAGCACUUGAUGAACUAGCAAAGUAGCACGAGAUCGAGUAUGAACGGCUGCCUUAUUUCUGUCUGUAUUAUGGUAGAUUGGAUCAUAUAGGUUCAAACUGUGAGUUGAAACGAAAAGGGGAUAUUACUACGGAACGAUAUGGACGGUGGAAGACUAUGGUCAAAGAUGUUUUUAGUAUCAGGUUAGUGAACGGUUUUACAAGGAAUAGGAUUAGACUUGGAGGCGACGAGACACAGUUGACAAUUGUGCUUCACCCCGAAGGUGGUGGGCAUUGUUUGUCUGUGAGAAGCGAUGGGAAAUGGUCGGGGAGAGAUAACCAUAGAGGAAGAUGGUUUGGGAAGUGAUCAUGUGCUACGUCUAUUCAAAAAGAGACGAUUUUCUACUGAAGGUGAAGGCCAUACCACUACAGCACCGAUGGGGAAGAGGCCGGGUGAAACUCAUAAGUGUUUAUUAGUGAGCGUCCGAGGUUCAGGAACCCAAGAGGUACUGACAAAAUUGCCAGAGACUAUGAUUGUGGAGAAGGCAUUGGUAGACUACGUCGCUGUCGAACAACUACUGGGAUUACCUUUGUUCUCUAUGGGUAAAGAGCAGAUAGGCAGUAGGGGCCUGUAUGGUGGAAGGUGCUCGAUCAAAAAACAGAGCAACAAAAGAUACAGGCCACGUAGAGAUGGUGGAUGAGGGAAAUGAGAAGUGAUGUUACAAAAGCAAAAGACGAGCCAAGCUGGUCAAUCGGUGAUGAGUCCCGAGAAUUAGUCCUAUCACGAGCAAUGACAAUCUUAUGCUAGAAUGUUUAUGGUCUGGGCAAUCCACGAACAUUUCAAGCUAUGAGAUUCCUCAUUAUAGACAAAAACGAAAAAAAAACUACUCGUCAAAUGAAAUACAUCUAAUUGCUGCUAGGUUGGGCUGGCUGCUUUAAGGUGAGCAGAGUUGGCUUGUCUGGAGGGCUUGCCCUCCUUUGGCAAUAUGGGAUGAAUAUAAUGAUUCGUUCUUCAUCGCCAGGUCAUAUUGAUGCCAUCUUUGGAGGUUUGGAGCCAACUGCAUUUAGGUUUACUAGUUUUUAUGGAAACCCGUAUAUGAAGCUGCACAAGCAUUUGUGGGAUCUAUUACAGUGGAUUGCGGGUGAUGUGAUUGGCCCAUGGCUAGUGGGUGGUGAUUUUAAUGAAAUAGUUACGGCACAUAAGUAUUUACACUGCCGAUUUCUGGCUAUGUCAUAGAUAAGGGAUUGUGGUGCAGCUCUUAAGGAUUAUGGUAUGUCGACGGUAGGUUUCAGAGGAUAUAAAUUUAUUUGGUCCAACCAAUGGAGAGGUAGUGGUAAUGUUCAGCUUUGUUUGGAUAGGAUGGUGGCAAAUGAUUUAAUGUUUCUAGCUUUCCCGGAUAUGCUUACCCAUCAUCUUAAUUCUGUGGUAUCGGACCAUCUCCCUAUCCUCAAGGAGUGUGGGUCGCAUAGUUGGGCAUGGAGAAAGCAACGUUUUAUGUUCGAGGAACUUUGGACCACAUUUGAAGGUUGUCAGGAUACCAUUACUAGUGCUUGGAGGGUUGAUCAGGGGUCUGUUUUGAGCAAAUUGCAUUCUUGCCAGGCAUCCUUGACCCGGUGGAAUAAGGAGAAUGUUGGCUAUAUUUCUACAAAAGUAAGAUGUUUGCAGAGUAAGCUAGAUAUUUUAAUGGGAAAUGAGCAAGAUGCAACAAUUGCUCUUCAACAGAAAGCUCUCUCGCAGAGCCAUCUCUCUUCCCUCCGCGAGCCUCGUCAACGUCGCCGAGCCUUAUCCUAGUCUACGAUCGUGGUUUCUCUCUCUCAUGUUUUUCUGAUGGUUUAUCUAUCGUGGUUUCUAUAUUUUCCUUUUGUUUGUUGAUGAUGCCCGUCGUCGUUCACCUAGCUAUCUCUCUUUCCUCCACGAGCCUUGUCAGCACUUGUCGAGCUUCUAUGCCGUGCUACACUGCUGUUGUUCCCUUUGCAUACCCCUUCUUUCCCUAUGUCCCAAGUGCAUACCCCCUGUUUCCCCAUGUCGACGGUGGGUUUCAGAGGGUAUAAAUUUACUUGGUCCAACCGAUGGAGAGGUAGUGGUAAUGGUAAUGUUCACCUUCAUUUGGAUAGGAUGGUGGCAAAUUAUUUAAUGUUCUUAGCUUUCCCGAAUAUGCUUACCCAUCAUCUUAAUUCUGCGGUAUCAAACCAUUUCCCUAUCCUUACGGGGUGUGGGUCGCAUAGUUAGGCAUGGAGGAAGCGACGUUUUAUGUUCAUGGAACUUUGGACCACAUUUGAAGGUUGUCAGGAUACCAUUACUAGUGCUUGGAGGGCCGCUCAGGGGUCUGUUUUGAGCAAAUUGCACUCGCUGGUUUGUUAUUUCUGUGGAUGAUUGCACUUGCAUGAUGUGGUUGUACUUGAUGAAAAAUAACAGUGAUGUUUUUGCUGUUUUUAGAAUUUUCACCAGAUUGUUCUAUUGACAGGUAUAGUGCCAAACUUAUGGCCUGAGGUUUAACCUAGACUUAUGGAACUUUGGACCACAUUUGAAGGUUGUCAAGAUACCAUUACUAGUGCUUGGAGGGCCGCUCAGGGGUCUGUUUUGAGCAAAUUGCACUCGCUGGUUUGUUAUUUCUGUGGAUGAUUGCACUUGCAUGAUGUGGUUGUACUUGAUGAAAAAUAACAGUGAUGUUUUUGCUGUUUUUAGAAUUUUCACCAAAUUGUUCUAUUGACAGGUAUAGUGCCAUACUUAUGGCCUGAGGUUUAACCUAGACUUAUGAUAUUGAUUAUCAAGAGACGUUUGCACCGGUGGCUAAGAUCAAUACCAAUCGAGUUCUAUUACCUUUAGCUGUAAACUUUAAUUGUCCAUUCAAGCAAUAUGAUGUAAAAAAUGUCUUCUUACAUGGAGACUUACAUGAGGAAAUCUACAUGUCAUUGCCGCAAGGUUAUAAGGCUCCUAAUGAUGCUAGUGCUGUAUGUAAAUUGAAGAAGGCACUAUAUGGAUUGAAGCAGUCUCCGAGAGCUUGGUUUGGGAGUUUCAGUCUUUCCAUAAAAAAAAAAUUGGUUAUGAGUAGAGCAAUGCUGAUCGUACUUUAUUUUUAAAAGGAAGAAUGGUAAGUUAACAGCUCUUAUUAUUUGUGUGGAUGAUUUGAUUGUGAUUGGUGAUUAUCUUGAUGAAAUUGGCAAACUGAAAGGCUAUUUAGCUUCUGAGUUCGAUAUGAAGGAUCUCGGUGGAUUAAAAUAUUUUUUAGGUAUUGAGGUAACUCGUUAUGAACAGGGAAUUUUCUUGUCACAAAGAAAAUAUGUUCUUGAUUUGCUAAAGGAAACAGGUAUGCUUGGUGUGAACCGAUUGGUACUCCUAUAGAACGAAAUCAUGGUUUGGAAGAAUAUCCAGAUCAAGUUCCAAUUGAAGUCCUUAUUUGUCUUAAGGCAUAGAAAGGACCUCACUAUUCAGUUUACCGUUUCAAAUGACAAUUGUUUUUUUUAAGUCAUUUACUUUGUGCGCAAGUCUAUUUUUAUUUAUUUAUUUACAAGUCUUUUAGGGUUUUAACACUACUAAUAUUGGCACACUCGCAAAUUCACAUAAGCUCAACCCUGUUUUAAGGCUUGGACAUUUUUAGGGUAAAUAUAUUUUCGCACUCCCCGUGGGAUCUCUAAUACACAUAUUACUAACAACUUAUGUUGGUAUAUCCGUUACAUGGACUAAAGUUACUUCGUUUUACCAAAAAGAUUGUUAUAAGACAUUUCAAACUUGGAAGUUCUAAAAUUGUUGCAUAAUUGCAGAAUGGUACUGAGGAAGAUAAUAAAGGAGCUCUUACUUUAGCAAAUGCAAUAGAGAAGGCUCUGCAAUUGCAUGACAACCCUAAUUCUAUAGUGAAAGAAACAGCUAAAUCUAUUGCAGUAUUUUUAGCCACUCGAUCCUUUUAAGGUUUAGAUAUACAUUAUGAAGGUUCCUUGCCAGAACCAUAUUUUAUAGGGAGAUGUAGAAGGGUAGUAGGGUAUGAAGAUGAGAAAAACGGGCAUCGUGUUGAAGGAUGUCCCAUUGGUAGAUGUGUGGAAGGCAACAGGUGUAGGUGACCGCCCGAGAGGGGACAUGUAAAUGAAAGAGCAUACUAUUGAUGUCUCCCUUGCAGCAUGGAGUGCAUCUAUAUGAAACCGAGACUAUGUAAAGGGAGAAACAAGUUUACUAGGACUUGGGUUACAAGUUUACUAGGAAUAGGAAACCAAAACCCUACUAGAUUGGGCUAAGAAAUAUGCCCUUAAAGCCAUCAAAUUAUGUAAGAGCAACUCCACCCAUUUUCCAUGGCUAAGGGCAAGGGGGGGCUAGGGCAGUUACUAUUCAUGUAAAUAGUUGCUGCCUUUGCAAAAAGCAAUGUGUGUUUCCAUCCGUUGCCAUUUUUCUUUUUUUUUUUAACCUAAACAAUUAAUUUGGAUAAUAUUUUCAGAUAAGAUUUUUGGGUUCGUACAUGUCAAUAUUUAUUAUCAAAUUCAUAUCUCAUAAUCGGAUAAAAUUUUAGGAUAAGAUUUUCAGUUUCAAAUUUUAAAUUUCAAAUUUUAGAUAAAUUUCAGAACAUCUUCCACGGUUGCCCACGUGCCCCCGGCUUCGAUGGAAGAUGCCAUGAGAUGGUGAAUAAAAUGAAAAUUGGAAGUGAUGAAAAUUUUGUGUAGAAGGUGAAAAACAAUAGAAUUUAUGAAAUUGUAUGAGGAUUUGGUGUUCAAAGUGAAGAAGAAUGGUAGGUAUUUAUAGGAAAAAAGUUCAGAAUUUUUUGGUAAUUCUUUAAAAAAAUGUCAAAUUUUUUUUUUUUCACAUUUUUUUGCCCAAAAAAAACCCAGUCAUUGGAUUUGGAAAAAAAAAAAAAAAAAAAAAAAGCAUCCGCGCAACUGGAAUGCGGCACUUGUCAAGUGACCGUUGGUCGACGUCAGCAUUGACGUCACCUCGCCUCGGGCUGCUUCCCCCAGCUAGAUGGCCCUGUCGCGUGGCACCCGCCUUGGCUAGGCUGUCUUGGCCCGCUGGAACCCGCUGCUUGGGAUCGAGCCCUGUCCUGCCCGAGCUUGGGUUUGUUGUUGGACUUGCUCUAAUAGUUAGAGUUAAAGACAUCUUUAAUAAAAGACAUAUUAUGUUAUCAAUAGGCAAGAAAGGUUGUUUUAUACAAUAAAUCAUCCUAUAUUAUCUUUCAAUAUGGAGAACAACCAUAGUCCAAGGAAUACACAAGUGGAUAUGAGAGCUAUGUAAUGAGAUUGCAUACAUGGAGACUUCUCAUCAUCCCUAAAUCCUAAAUAUGUUCAUGGUAAUAGGAAUAUUGAUUGGGCAUCAAUAUUCUGCAAAGACUUGUACACACAGUAUCGUCCCUAUAUGUAGGGAAUGGCAAGGUCUCAAGUCAUUAAGUGUGGAGACACAUCGAUAUGUGUAUAUGUGCUUGUAGAAGAACAAGUACACUGAAGGCGAUCCAACACAUGAGUUACAACAUGGAAGUCUUUACUUACAUGUCAAGCUGGAAGUCAUAAUUUGCAAUGGUGCAAACUAAUCCUUAGACCUGAGGCAUCAUAGAUGUUUUGUGGCUAUGUUGUUAAUCUUUGAGGGCACUAUACGGUCAUGCUGAAUUAGGCAUAGCUUAAAGGUGCUCAUCAGGAUUCUCAAUAGUGUCAUGGAAGUAAAUGAAUGUACAAUAAGGAAUCUCUACUCUCAGUAAAGGAGAGAGAAUACUCCAAAAUAUGAUUGGUCAAAUCUCUAAGCAGAGUAGUGGAUAAGACUUGAAAGAAGAAGUCUUCAAGUGUUACCAGGAUAAUCAUAUAAAAUGAAUGAUUCACAUUAGGAUAUUGACAAUCGGAUUCCAUGAUCUAAUAACGUGAAUAAGGAGUAUUGACAUAAGAGAAUGAUUCAAUUGCACGGUUAUUCCAAUUUAAAUAGGUUCUUACACAACGUCUCAUUUAGCUCGGAUAACUGUGACUUGCUGCUAGGCGACAACCAUGGUUUGUGAAUGUCCUAAAAGGUUUCAAUUAACCUUUAUUAAUAGAAAGAAUUAAAUUGUGGAAUUUAAUUUAUAUAUUCAAAGAAACUAGGCUAAGAUACUUUGUUUAAAAUGAAAUUGGUUUAGCUCAACUAGUAUAAACAAAAUGAAUAUGACAUUUAUAAUGUUUUUGUUGUAUAGGUUGUGGCUAAAUUUCAUUUCCUAAGCAUUAGAUGCAUGUUUCCUUCACUUGGCUACGUAAGAAUUCAUUGUCCAAUCGAACCUUCUAGUUCCUGGAUGCUCCAUAGAAAUCCAUUGUUAUUCCUUUCUUCCACCGAGAAAGUUUCAUUUCAAAUCACAAGAGAAAUUUCUCUCUCUUUUUUUAUAAGCACCGACCGUUCGUCAUGAUUGGGUGACGGUUCGCCUGGAGCAAAAUUCACAACUCGAGCCUCUCUACCAAAAUCCAACUGGUUGGCUGGCCACACCGGCCGGUAGCUUUCUUGCUGCUGCCAAAUCCUACGACUUCUUCUCCUCUCUUGUUGCUCCUUUUCAUGCAGCACCUUGGUUCCUCUUCUUCCUCCUACAUUAUGGUGAGCCAAAUCACAACACUAGCUACAUGUAAUGAGCAACUAAGGCAAGGGUGGAACUACUUCCAAGGCUAUAUAUAUGUUUAACUUGUUUUAUAUAUAGCCCAGUACGUACUAACUUAUUCAAGUCCAAAAAAGUCUAAGUCCUUAUGAAUUUAGUUGGAGAGCAUCAAUUUGAUAAUAGGUACACUUUCAAUUAUGUUGUUGAACAUAUUUUCAUUUUGAUAAUAUGUGUUUUUUAGUUGCAUUUAAUAUGUAUUGGUUUUAAGUUUUUUUUUAGGACCUUUCCUUUUGAGAGGGCCGAUAAUAUACUAAACUCACACACACUAUAUUCAUACUAGGACUUGAACCUAGGACCUUGCUUGGGAGAGCAGUUGCUCCAAACCACCACACUAGUGGGUCCUUUUGCAUAUAUGUUUUAAGUUAAAGCUUAUUGGAAAUGAACAUUUAGCUCUGCACUCAAGGACCUAAGUUCGAUUUCCCACUCACCCAAUAUCGCUUAUAUAAGAAGGAAAAAACUUAUUGGAAAUUAGUCAAUUGAACUAUGAACUAGUGUAUGUUUUUAUUUAUUUAUAACAAAACAAUACAAGCAACAGUCUAAACUACAAGUGGGAGGGGAGUUUCUCACACACACACAUUAUCAAGGUGUCAUGGAGGUUCAAACAUGAGACCAAUGGUUUGCGAGUCAAGGUCCCUUUCUAUUGGGCUAGACCCCGUUGAAGAACUAGCGUGGUUAUAUGAUUUAAUGUUUGCUUUUAUUUCUAGAAAGACUAUAGAAUCUGGAAGUACCAAAAAAAUAAAAUAUCAUUAAAUUUUAAGCUAAUAAAUUUAGCUAGACUACCCGUAAAAACAUUUCUGGUUCCGCCCUUGAACUAAGGUCUUGUUUGAUGGCUUAGUUUCUUAGUUUUUGGUUACUUUUCAUCAAAGAUAGUGAGAGGGGAGACAGUAAAUCUGAAUUGUGAAGCAUAAGAUACAUAAGCCAGACUUUUUCCAUUCACAUCAAGAUAAAAGUUUUCUCUGUCUGCAGAUGACUGCACUUUAAACUUCCUUGCCUAACUUCUAUGAUUUUUACUUCCCUUUUAUAUUUAACUUGCAUUUUAGGUAUUAAUAUGGAGUUGUAAUUACAAUUAUGGCAGUUAAUGAAAUGCUUGGAAUACAUUAUAAAUAAAAUAUGAAGUCUAAUGGCAACGAUGUAAAAACAUAGGAAUAUUAUGACAUCUUAUAUCUUACUGGUAAUUUAAGUUUAAAAUUGAGUUUUCCACAUAGAUUUAUAAAAUGAUGGGUAUAUGUCUAGGAAAUAAAAAUGGUAGGGACCUAUAUUGGAAAAACCCUAAAUUUUAUUAAGAAACCACAAAAGGGCACAACAAUACAACAAAAAGUAAAAUCCAACCAAGCUCAGCAACAAGGAUAUACUUUUUUAGUGGAAAAUGUUGGGAACACUGACUUAUAUCAUGAUUUGAUUUUUCUUUGGCCUACAAAUCAAUUCUUUUAUGUGGAAAAUUCUUUUGACUUUGUCACUCAAAUUGUACAAAUAUGGUUGUGUGGCUUUUAAAAGGCAACGUGACGUGUGGGAUGGGCUGCCAAUUUUGAAACUUAUUAGCUUCUUUGAGAAGCUGGUGCAACAUUUAUGCGCGUGAACACUUGGCGGAUUGAUCCAUCAGAGAAGACAAAAUAAUGGUGUCAUUUGGACAGACUUGGGCAAUUGAUCCGGCAACAAGUCUUUCAUGGUUCCUUUAGCCUCGUUUGUUACGGAAGAUUGUCUUGGCAUGAACUAUUCUAAGAAAUUGUCUUGGCCUGAAUUGGCUUAAGUUGAAUAACACUUAACCUAUGUUUGGUGAUGCUUGGAUUGGGACUAAAUUUAAAUUGAUUAAAAUAUCAAUAAAUAGGACGAUAUAUUUCAACUUCUGUUAUACUGUACAAACGUGGGUUAAAAAUAUUCCAAUUUUUUUUUUUUUGCUAGUAAAUAGACCAGACCCGACCCGUUAAUUCUAGGCCAAAGUUCCCAAAGUUUUAUUUAAUAAGGUUUAUUUUUUAGGUUUAUAUAGGUUUUAAAUUUAAGGGCAUUUGUGUCUAUUUAAGUGAAUUUUUUACUAUAUUUGAAAUAUUUUAUAAAAACUGAUAUUUUUGAAAUUAAGGAUCAAGUUUUGAUAAAUUCUCUAAUAAAUACAUUAGUUUUAAGUUUUAGAUUUAUUACAUUUUUUUAUUUCUUGCUUGCAUUUAUUAACUGUCAUUUCUUUAUCUCUUUUUCGAAGCCUCAAAAGUCCAGUCAAUGGAUGGGGCCGUCUGAGUUGUUUUGUACGGUGGAAAACGUAUAAACUGGAUUUCGUGUCCUGGACUUCAAUAAUUUUUUCAUAUCUUUUAUUUAUUUAAACAACUUGGACUUCGUAGAAAUGGGGCUUUUUCUUUGGGUCAAGAAGUCAGUCAAUGGAAUACGUGUUCUCUCCGCCAUCGAUGGGGCAGCCUCUGUUUACCUCUCCUACUUUUGGGUGAAGAAGUCAGUCAAGUCUUUAUUUAUAAGAUUUUUGAAGUUGUUAAGAUAUCUACUGUGGCCAACAAAAUUCACGAACUUGCUUUCAGAAAAUAUUCAGAUAACAAUUAUUUAAUUGAGUAGACAAAUAAAUUCAAAUUCAAGUGAUGAUUUUCGCAGAGAUCAUCGCUGAAGAAUAUCAAAAAAAUAUACAAUUUGAAUCAUAAAAAAAUAAUAUUAUAUAAGUCCUACAACAGUGUUCCACAAACAAAAAAAUCCUCAAAUGAAGCUUUUAUGAGUAGGUACGAGCUUUAUUAAUUAUCCCUGACAAGAUUGUAGACCACCAUGGAAAGUCUCCUGCGGUAGUAGAUGUAAUUUGGGAAUCCAAAGAAACUAAUUUGCACGCCAGACAUGCAAGUCAAUGUCAACUCAAGUCAUACACGAUUUCUGAUAAAUUCAUGUCGGAAAAUGAAUUUCUAGGGAAGUUAUGAGCAUUUCAGACUCUAUGUUUCUCUAUAAAUAUCCAACAACAAAUCUUAACCUUCAUUCUCAUUCUUCACUAGCCCUUCACCAAAAUGGCUUUCUACAAUACAACAAAACACCUUCUAAGCCUCACUGCCCUAGUCUUUGUGGCUGGAGCACUGCUAAAAAAUGUGACAGCACAAAAUUGUGGCUGUGCCCCAGAUCUAUGUUGUAGCCAGUAUGGCUACUGCGGCAGCAGCGAAGACUAUUGCGGCCCGGGUUGUCAACAAGGCCCUUGUACUGGCGGUGGCGGCGGCACACCUACCACACCAAGCCCCAGUGGUGGUGGUGGUUCGUCGGUGGCUGAUAUUGUAACCCAAGAAUUCUUCAAUGGAAUCAUUAACCAGGCUCCUUCAGACUGUGUUGGGAAGAACUUCUACACUCGAGAUGGUUUUAUUAACGCUGUGAACUCAUAUUCUGACUUAGGUAGACGUGGUUCGGUUGACGAGUCUAAACGGGAAAUCGCAGCUUUCUUUGCUCAUGCGACUCAUGAGACUGGCUGUAAGAUAUUCCUUUCCUCCCCUCUCAUACAUACAAUGUGACAUGAACAAAUUAUAACUCCCCUCUCUCAUUAAAAACGUGCAUAUGUUACAUGUUGUGAAAUUAUAUGUUUCACAACGUGCAAUAAGAGCACGUUGUAUUAUACAACUUUUAGCAACAUGCAUUUAGUGUGCGUCGUCGAAAUGCGUUUAGUGCAUAUCAUGUCUGAAAGUUUCUAUAGUUGCUAAAUAUUUUCCAUGUAUUAAGCUCCACAAUUACCGAAUGAAUUUCCUCAUUAUGAUAUGCACAGAUAUUUAUGUCAAAUAGUUGAUAACCUAUAAAAAUUCAAAACCCCUAUUUCUCAUAUAAAAAUUUGAUGGGUCUUAUAUAUUGUCAACAUAAAUAGAACAAACAAAAGAAAACACAGAUGAACCUAACAAAAUAACUUUUUCUUUUUUGUUCAGAUUUUUGCUUCAUAGAAGAGGACGAGGCGACUCGUGAAACCGCCUGCCAGCCAAGCACAGAGUAUCCAUGCAACCCCGACAAAAAAUACUAUGGGCGUGGACCAUUCCAAAUUACAUGGAAUUACAAUUAUGGACCUGCUGGAAAAAGCAUUGGCUUGGACCUUUUAAACUCUCCAGAAACCGUGGCCUCAGACGCUGCUGUUGCGUUCAAGACUGCCAUUUGGUAUUGGGUGGGAAAUGUUCGUUCUGUUUUAAGUCAAGGAUUUGGAGCCACAACUCGAGCCAUUAAUGGUGCUAAGGAAUGCGAUGGUAAAAGACCUGAC